rnacentral:rRNA from 1 species
UACGUAGGUGGCAAGCGUUGUCCGGAUUUACUGGGCGUAAAGAGCGCGCAGGCGGUCGUUCAAGUCGCGUGUGAAAGCCCCCGGCUCAACUGGGGAGGGUCACGCGAUACUGAUCGACUGGAAGGCAGGAGAGGGUAGUGGAAUUCCCGGUGUAGUGGUGAAAUGCGUAGAUAUCGGGAGGAGCACCAGUGGCGAAGGCGACUACCUGGCCUGUUCUUGACGCUGAGGCGCGAAAGCUAGGGGAGCAAACGGG